rnacentral:rRNA from 1 species
CCUACGGGGUGCUGCAGUGGGGAAUAUUGGACAAUGGGCGAAAGCCUGAUCCAGCCAUGCCGCGUGUGUGAAGAAGGCCUUCGGGUUGUAAAGCACUUUCAGUGGGGAAGAAAGCCUUGGGGCUAAUACCCUCGAGGAAGGACAUCACCCACAGAAGAAGCACCGGCUAACUCCGUGCCAGCAGCCGCGGUAAUACGGAGGGUGCGAGCGUUAAUCGGAAUUACUGGGCGUAAAGCGCGCGUAGGCGGUCUGAUAAGCCGGUUGUGAAAGCCCCGGGCUCAACCUGGGAACGGCAUCCGGAACUGUCAGGCUAGAGUGCAGGAGAGGAAGGUAGAAUUCCCGGUGUAGCGGUGAAAUGCGUAGAGAUCGGGAGGAAUACCAGUGGCGAAGGCGGCCUUCUGGUCUGACACUGACGCUGAGGUGCGAAAGCGUGGGUAGCAAACAGGAUUAGAUACCCGAGUAGUC